AUGGUGUUGGGACUAUACAACUAAACAUAAUUAACCGAUAUGGAAAAAGGAUUGAUGAGCAGAACGAAGAAACGUCAGUUUGAUGAUAACUGAUAAUUGUACAGAUUCUCUAUUUAUUACUAGUGCACCUUUAUGUUACUCAGUAUGUUCACUGCCCCCUCCUUUCAUUAUAAUAAUGAGUUUUAUUAUAGAAGAAAAUAAUUCCAACUAGAUAAUUAAAAUAAUACUCAUGUAAUAGUUCAAGAUACAAAAUAUCUCAGCAUUUUAUUGCAGCUUGUAUAUAUAGCACCUGUUCAACGGGCUUGAACAUCAUAUUCAAAUAUCAAUAAUACGAAACAUUCCCUGUAAGACUGUGGUGAGUAACAAUCCAUGACGUUAUGAAUAUAAGCAAGUGUAAUUCACCUAGAUCUAUGUUCAAAUAACGUAACUUCAAUCAAAAAUGAAAAACGAAGCAGGUGACCAUAUUCAAUAUACCUAGUGAUUUAGAUUUAUCGUAAAUAAGUCAUAUAAGUACAAACCAAAAUGAUGAAAAAUGCGGUUUUAAUUUUCUGUAAGUGCCAUUAAUGGAAAUUACCGAUUGCCUUCACAAUUUCUUUUUCUUUUCACUAUUUUCCCCCGUAACAGCGGAGAAAUAGGAAAACAACAUAUGAGAUGAGGUAUCCAUACCAAAUAGAAGAACAAAGUGAGUAAAAGUAUAUGAGAGGUUACAGGAAACAUAGAAUGGAACUACUAUUCAGAAUAUUUGAGAAAAAACUGUUCAAACCAGCAAGAGAACUGAUUGGUUUGACGUCGCUGAAAGAUAAAAGAGAUUUUUGCAUAAUUUUCAUGAAAGUGUAUGCAAAUUUAAACCACGGAGUUUUCAACCAACAUCAUCAUUAUCAUAGCUGGGCAUUAACUCCUUUAACGAAGUUAAUUAUUUUGUUAACGGUAUCCAGCUGUGAUCAUCAUCACAUAUACUUUAUUGUCAUUAAAAAAUUUCAAAUCUUAUGGGCAAAGUAGAUAUUGCAAUAGCUAUUACAACAAAAGCAUUAAACUUGAGAACAUUCAACUGUUAGUACCAAGUGUAUACGACCUCAGUGUAUAGAGGGUCUCAUUGGAAUACAUGAACAUAGAAGUGUGAGAGAAAGUUCAGAAAAGUAUAAAAUCGUGGCUACACUAUUAAAGAGAAUAGAAUUAAAAGGACACAGUUAGGAGAUAGGUAUAUUCUCAAAUAAACUACCAACGGAAAGGAAAAACUAGUUUUUAUCCCAAAUUCAAUACUGUCUGAUGUUGGUGAAAAAGUGAAAUACUUUUGCUUGUUGUCAACUUUUCUGGAUUACAAACCGAAACCUUUUCGUUGGGAAUAGUGAGUAACCUAAUUUUGAAUUGAAAUAUUACAGAUUAUUGAAUAUUUUGCUAGUGAGCUUGAGAAAAAAACCAAAAGAGUUUUGCAAUGACUCAUUUUUCAGUUUGAUAGUGUUAAACUUUGAUAUGAAUCUGUGUCCAUUUGUAAAGACAGGUAAUGGGCCACUUGAGGUGUACAUCAAAAUUAAAUUGAAGAGUGAUUAUUUCUAUCAUUAAUUAUAAUAGGUGGGCUCAAAAGUUCGUGAUAUUACACAUAGAUGCCGCUACUAGUACUGAAUCCAUAUGAUUUUCAGUUAACCCUAACCUCUAAAAGACACGUGUACACAUUUCACAGCUGUCGGACUAUUAUUUUGUAAGAUAUAACGUUUUGAGUGAAGCAAACUUUGUUAGUUUGAAGAAACCGGAUGAAAAGGAAUUCCAUGUCUUAAUAAAGCGAGGCCCCAGAGAGGCUGUUACCAACGAAAACAUCGAGAAAGUCCACAAAAUAAUUUUGGAUGACCGCCAAGUGAAGUUGAUCAAGAUAGCCGAGGCUCUGAAGAUAUCAAAGGAACGUGUUGGACAUAUCCUGCAUGAAUAUUUGGGUGUGCGAGAGCUCUGUUCAUUGUGGUUCUCGCGCUAGCUCACAAUCUACUAAAUCAGAGGUUCCCAAACUUUUUUUUAUUAUAGACCACUUUCUAAAUUUGAUGGUUCCGGUGGACCCCCUGCAUCUACAUUCCUAGCAUAUUCCCAAGACUCAACAUAAAAUGUGAAGAUUAGAUCUAACUAUGGAAAUUUGCUUUGCAAUUGCGUUACAACCACGAAUUAACAGUUUUCGAAUAAAAAGUGAUAAGUGAUCGGUCGAUUAAUUAAUUGUUGGGAGGGAAAUGCUAUCAAAAGCUUUCUUGCAAUUCCCCACAGUUCGGGAUAUUUUUCGGGUAUUUCUGCCUGUUGCCAAAAUGUUGGAUACACUCUUUUGAAUUUCACCUUCAGCUCUUAAUUAGUGCUAAGUAUUAGAGUAGCUCCUCUUGUAAGAUCAUUUUCUCCACUUCUGGGCGUUCGUAUUCAAUAUUUACAUUGAUGAGGAUUCAAACAAGUUCAUGCAAGAUCGCAAACACACACACACAAGUUUUAUUUCGUUCCCUUUGCACAACGAGCGGUGCGGAAGGCGGCGGCGCUUUGCAAGUCUCGACACGUUGAACUGAAUAUGGAAUUCGCAAGUUUUUACAUAUAACAAUCGCCGAGCUUCUUGAAAUAAGGUACUGAACUAUGAGCAUGUCUAAACUUUGGCUUAUACGAAUAGGUAGCUAAACAUAUUCUAUAAUAUAGGACCUUCAAAAUAAACGUUCACCCUCAACAGGAAUAAAAAGGAAAAAGUUAAAGUUGGCCUUAUUACCAGCACGGGCAGGUUAUAAGGCCAAGAGUAAAUAAUAAGGCAGGUAAUAAGGUCCAACAUUCUGGUUAGAUAAAGUCAUCUGUGUCAUCUUUUGAGAGACCAACACAUUCCUCAUGCACCCAGGUACCACAUGAUAUACAGGAUCUCAUAUCAGCCACUUAAUCCCUUAACGCAUGAUUUUUUGUUUUCAAUAAAAAAAUACACUGGACCAAUCAAAGGCCUAGAAAAUCAU